rnacentral:lncRNA from 1 species
UGUAUACCAGCAACUGCAGGAGUUAGAGCACAAGAUCUUUGGAUCAAACAAUGGUGGAAGCUCAAUGCUGCCCGGUUUUCCACCUGCAAGUUCAAUUAGCUUUGGCUUCCCAAAGAUCAAUGAUUCACCUCCGCUUCCUGCCUUCGGCGGUGUUGGAACUAAUUCAAUUUUCGCCCGACCACCCCUAGACUUCGCUCCAACCACAUUUACAUUCGGAGCUGGUCCAGUGCAGAAUAGUGCAACUGGAAGCACAUUUACUGCAAAUCCACCUAACAAUCCACAUGGUUCUGAUAUCCAAAUGGAUGGUUGUUGAUUCUGACCAGCAUCCUCUGUGUGAUUAUGCUGCUUGAUGAUUUAUCCGCGGUAUAGUUUAUAUAGGUACCAAGGUUGCCAACUGUUAUAUUUCAAGUCAAGGUGCAGUAAUCAUAUAAGUGGCUUGUCAAAUUCUUCUAUACAGAGUUCUUUUUCUCAUGUGUUUCAAAUCUUUUAAUUUAUCUGGUAGUAGUAGUGGACUAGUAGUAUUGAAUUUCAGGAUAUUUAGUUAUUUAAUGGCUUGAUAUGCUUGUUUCAGUGUAUCUGCACUUUGACAUUGUCUAGUUUUUAAUUUGGCAAAAUUCUACCCUAUAAAGUAUACAACUUUAAACAAUCAUGUUGCCAUUAUUGAUUUACAAGAAAUGGGUUGAAAAAUUUGGAGACAAGUUAUGAUUUUGUAGUUUUACUGAAAAUUUAUCCAUGAAAUUAUCCUAACAGAGUAGUAGCAUAAGAAGAUGCAUAUUAUAAAGUAACCAUGUGAGUUAUUCAGCUUGCACUUGGACUCCAUUUCAUGGUCCAUUUGUUUAGGAUUCUCCAAAAUUCAUUUUGACAUAAAUGUUUUUUAGAAUGUUGAGAUUCUUUUUUUGUACAAAUAUUUUUGGUGAAGUUCUGCCAAAACAUUUUUAGUGAAAUUAAGCUAAACAAAUUUAAAAAGCUCAAUUUUAUUACAAAAGUGAUGCUAAGUUCAAUUUAUUUUCCACUCUACUUCUCCAAUAUCAGUUUAUUUGCAUCCUUAUCCUGUUAUCACUAUUGUUCCAUGAUUUUCUUCCCUUUCCACUCCUAUCUAGUAAAAGCUCGAAUAAGAUUCAUGUGCUGCAUCUUUCUUGUUCUUUUUAAAGAGUGUAAAUUGAGGUACAUAAUAACUUUAUUAUGAAAUGCUAAAAACAAAACAUACACUUGUAAAUGCUUGGUAAUAUUUCUUGUUUGAAAAUAUUUAGAUGAAACAAGAUGUUAGGUUUUUAGGUAUGUUCUGUCUUGUCUAUUUAAAUUUCAUGUCUUGACCAUUUUAUUUAGUAAUGUGCCUCUUUCAACUUGUAAUUAGUUUACAAUUUUUAUAAAUACCUAUGAAACAUGAUAAUUAUACAUACUAUUGGAAUAUCAGUUAGUACCUUCAUGCUUUGUUUCUUUUAUUUAUUUUGAUUUAUCACGUAUUUUCAGUUUAUACUCAUUCAGGCAGCACGUGCACAUUCUGAAGUCGUCAAUUUAAGAUCCAUUUAUAGUUGAUAUUGGUGAUUAUUUCCCUGUGUUUCUUCUAUUUACCCUUAUAAUGAAAUCAAUACUGUGCUUAUUCUACAGAGCAAUGUGAGAAGGACAAGGCUCGUGUGCUGGUUCAUUGCAUGUCAGGAAAGAAUCGGUAUGAUAUUGCUGCAAUGUGCAUGACAUUAAUACUCUGCACCAAUAUUCGUAUUUGCAUGUGUGUGUAUUAAUUUCAUCUGCAUCACAUAUGGUAGGUCUCCAGCUAUUGUGAUUGCAUACUUGAUGAAGUCCAAAGGAUGGAGACUUGCACAGUGUUAUCAGUGGGUAAAAGAACGGAGACCGUCUGUUGAAUUAACUGAAGGUAUAUUUUCUAUUUCCAAAUUUGCUCCCAUCUCAAGUGGUAAAACUCAUGUGCGUUUUUCUAAUAUCGGGUGCAAUUAUUACAGUGAAUACUUGCACCUUUUCAUUUCUUUAUUUUCCAUCAUGGUACUUACCAUCUUUCUGACAUGUGUCCCUCCUUUCUUAAUAAUGUAGGUGUAUACCAGCAACUGCAGGAGUUAGAGCACAAGAUCUUUGGAUCAAACAAUGGUGGAAGCUCAAUGCUGCCCGGUUUUCCACCUGCAAGUUCAAUUAGCUUUGGCUUCCCAAAGAUCAAUGAUUCACCUCCGCUUCCUGCCUUCGGCGGUGUUGGAACUAAUUCAAUUUUCGCCCGACCACCCCUAGACUUCGCUCCAACCACAUUUACAUUCGGA